ACUUGGUGUGAAUUGCAGAAUCCCGUGAACCAUCGAGUCUUUGAACGCAAGUUGCGCCCCAAGCCUUCUGGCCGAGGGCACGUCUGCCUGGGUGUCA
rnacentral:rRNA from 1 species